CGGAAGUCGGCGUCGCUUUUCCCGCCAAGCGAGGCCAUUCCACCGGGUCCGCUGCUAUCUCCGGGACGGCGGCGCGGAUGGACGGGCCGGGCGAGAGUGCGAGGGAGUACCGGCGGAUGAAGACGCACAUUGAGAAACUUAUUGAAGAAUCUUCUCGUUUGGCUGGGCACCACAAGGAAAUGAUGCAACAUAAUGUUGUGCUUUCAAAUCUUUGUCAUAAUUUCGAUGAGGUUCAAGGAAGACUGGAACGGGUAGCAGCGGUGAAACCUGGUUGCACAUUACUGAACCAUUAAUUUUUUUGACAACAUCUUCAGGAACAGAAACAGGCAGUAGAAUUAGAUUGGGAUUUAUAUGGUGCCUUUCACUUCGAUGCGAGUGAAUGUUCAAUGCUUUUUAACAUUGAAUUUCUGUUCACAUUGCAUUAUUUCUUGUUCACUAAAUAAAAUAUUGAUUCUAUGUAG